CAGUUUUCCAAGCAAAGUGUUGAAAAGUGCUGCCUGGUUUCGUCUUGCUGUUUAUAGUAAAAUGGGAGAGGAAUGGAUUAAAUUGAGGUAGGGCUGUGAAGUACAAAAGAGCCAAGACUUGAUAGUUUUGAAAAUUCUGUUUUUCCAGAUGGCAACUGGUACCAAAAUUAAGAAAUGGCUUUUGAUCAAAGAUCAAAACAGAACAGUGUUCUAAAGAUGAAGCAACCGACGUGACUGUCAAAACUUCUGUUAAGAUCUCAGAAAGAGCAGAGGUCAUGCUCACAGUCAUAAAAAGGGCCCUUUAAAGAGAUUGAUGGUAUAUCUCACAGAUUCUCUCAGUGAAACAAUAGUUCUUCUAGGAAGCUGAGGUCUUUCUGCCUCAGCCAAGGCUCAAAGGAGAGAAGAGCUUAUUUCAAGAUUUGUAAAUGUGACUUUUAUCUAAUGGAGUAAAUCCCAAGAUGAUUCACAGGAGACCCACAAACAUCUUAAAACAUUGCCAGCUUGGACUCAGGGAAAUAGAGGCAGUGUGGAAAGAGGAGAGGCUUUUGGACCCCAGAAUUAUACUGGAAGGAAGGAGACUGUGAGAGCUGUUUUGCUGUAAACAUAUGCUAAACUUCACAACAAAAGGAAGACUCAGAAGGCAGAAUAAAGAACUGAGAAGGUAAAGUUGAGUCAGGGAAAAUUUUUCCCAGGCCUUGAAAUCUAAUCAAGGAACAUCCAACCUUUGGCCAGCUGGAUUUCAGAACUACCAUGGACCAAUGAAUUCUUUGUGUAUUCAGUUUUUUCCCUUUUUGACAGACUGGCUUCUCUGCUGACCCACUGCUUUCACACGAGAUUGCUCUGCUUACUGAUCAUAAUUGACUAGCCAGUUAAUUGUGGUCUCCGGAUUCCAAUUUUAAAUUUUUGGAGAAAGAAUCUCAUUGUCCCGGCUUGGGUCAGAGGUUCCAUCCUGAUUCUAUUUCCUUUACCCAGAAAUGGUGGAGCAUUGAGUACAUAGAGCUGCCUUUUCCAGGCUUUUGGUGAGUUAUGUGCUUAUAAAGACAGUAUCGAGGGAAUGAUGGGCCUUUUUAGAAUUGCUGCUUUGAGAAAAGGUUCCCCUAAACUGUUUUUGUGUCUGGCAAAGUGAGCAUGAUUAUUCAUACAUAACACAGUGAAUUCAGGGGCUAUAACAUAUUCAGAAGAUUCAGUGAAAGUGCCAUAGGAUGAUAUUAACAGUGGUGCUUUUAGUUAUACAUACUAAAUGGAAGUUAAUGCUGGUUGCAACUCAGCAGUAAUUAGUAAAGCUAUUUGCACAGUAUUUUCACUAAGGCAGUUGAGCUGACCACAUUUUUUCCAGGCAUAGCUGCACAGGUGAUGGCUGGAGCUGUUGAGUGAGUGCAUUGAGUGACUCCUUCAGGGAGAUGUUCUCAUUCAUCAGGAAUGAUUCAGAAGUCUGUUUGGAAGGAAUUGGCUUACACCACUGUGAUGGGGAAGGAAGACUGCUGUGUAUGCCCGGGGGCACUAGAAGUUACAGCUAACAUUUUAUGUUUCAUUGGUGCUUUCUAGUUGCAAACUGCAGUGAUUUUUUUUGUAGAGUAGGUUGAACUCAGAAUUGUAUUACAGUAAUAAAGGACUGUCUUGUUGAAAGCCCUUUUCCCUUUUCUGCUUGAUUAUUGUUACCUUACAUUGCACAGUGACUGAAAUGUUCUAGAGGAGACUGUAAAUUGUACCCUCAGAUAGAA